rnacentral:sRNA from 1 species
ACAUAACUCUUAUUAAUUGAAAGGUUUUAUCAAAUUUUUCUUAGCAGGCACAUUUCCAUUACGAUUUAGAUUUUUUCAUGUUGCAAUUUGGAAAUGGGGGGGGGGGGGGGGGGAGGGCAAAAUUUGAUAUGAAUGUUAAGGCUAAAUUAAGCCUUGUUUUUGGCUCUUCAAUCCACUUUAAUACAAUUUUGCUUAGGCAAAAAAGAAUAUUUUCCAAAUCAAAUCUAACCUUGAUUGCAAUACACAUGUUUAGUAGAAACAUUGUGGGGCAAAAUUUGGUAGAUACUGCCUUUACUGCUUGACAAUUUUUUGAAGGAGUACAUGUAAUAGUCAUUUAAUUCCUCCGAGAUCAAGAGUUAUCUCUCUUAUCAGAGGGUCAUGGAGCCUUAAGGGAUAUAUAUAAUCGGGGUAUCUGUGUGUGUGUGUGUGUGUGAAGAAAGAAAGGCCUCACCAGUACCUCUAACCACUAUGGUUAUAUCAAAUGGUUGAUCAGUAGGUAGAUGAAUCCACUUCCAUGGGGGAUAUAUAGGGCAAUAGUGUAUAAUUAGACACUUGCUCAGAGUGAAGUACUCUAUAUUUACUUCAAAAUUGUUGAUUCAUCUGAAUUUUUUUUUUGUCUUUUUCAUUGUUUUAAUACCCAUACCAAGUAAUGUGCCAUUUUAUAUGUACAUGAUGUUUUAAAGGGUGCAUUUGACUUGUUGAGCUAUGAAUAAUAAAAAAAAUCAAAUAUUUGUUAUAAAUCAAAAGUCACCAUUUUCCAUUUGAUGAUUCCCAUGAACUGUGUUGCAAUAUGCAUGUUGCAUGAUUUGUCAUGUGUUUUGACAAAAUUUGUUGUUACUCUGCCUCUGUUAUGAUGUCAUGUGACCAUGUGCUAUAUUGUGUUGACUACCAGGGUGUGUUAUUAGAUGACAUCAUUCAUGAGAUGGCAUCAUUCAUGAGAUGACAUCAUUCAUGAGAUGACAUCAUUCAUGUGAUGACAUCAUUCAUGAGAUGACAUCUGUCAUGUGAUGACAUCUGUCAUGUGUUAUAUAUCUAGUGUUGAUUGUAACAUACAGCCUCAACCUUCAUCAUGUUGUGAUCAACAUGUAAUGUGUUUCUUUUUUUGUUAUAACAAACCAGCAUUCUGAUUAAUACAAUUAAUUUUUGAUUGCUUUUGCUUUUAUUGAGUAAUAUCUAUAUGUGCCUGACAGUGUGUAAUUACAUUUGCUUGAUUCAUCGCAAGUUUUGAUAAAUGUACAUACAUUGAAUACAUUACUUCAUUCUUCUUUUAUAAAGUUCACCCAUACAAGUAAUGUUAAAGAUGUAGUUUGAUAUUAUAAAUAUCUGUGUUGAUGGCUCAGUUUGUAUAACAAUUAUGGGGGAAAGAAUUUCAUUUUUGGCCGGGCUCAGAAAAUCUAAGUACUGUUGGGAAUUUGGAAAUGACUGAAUAACGGGGAAAAUUUGGUCAGGUGUGCCAAACAUGAAUAAUUAGGUCAUGUGCUGCAUAUGAAUAAUUAGGUCAAGUGCUAUACAUGAAUUGAAAAAGGGUAGAGGGAGGGUGAUGUGUUGACAAAAGGGGGUGCUGGUUUCAGUUUGCCAUUGCUGUAUUUUGCUUAUUGAUAAUAAUACAUAUAUAACAACUACACAUUAUUUUUUUCCAACGCUAAUAUCGCACUAUGUUUUGAUUUUUAUUACUCAUGUUUUCUUUGUGGAUUUGAAACUCUUAAACUUGUUUGAAAUAUUGUGUUUUUCUUCUAAAAUUGGGUGAAUUAUAAUAUCAUGUAUCUUCUGAAACUUUAAUGCAUUAUCAUAUAGUAUGUUUUCAACCUCUAUGAACUAAUGUUAAUAUUCUAAUACAAAUGUACUAGGUGAAUUAUGUACAGUGAAUAAUUUUUUUCAUACCUAUCCAGAUAUAAAUAUGUGUUUGGAAUUAGCAUGCACAGUUGGAAAAUACAAUAGAAUUUGUACAGUUCUUAUAUUACUUUAGAAUUAGUCAUUUUAUAUCCUCAUAAUUUGCAAUCCAUGGGUAUACUUUUUGUUUUUGAGUUGCAUUAUCAUUGAUUUUACAGUUAUUAAAUAUGUGUAUUUCC